GGUAGCAUGGCCGAGAGGUCUAAGGCGCUGGUUUAAGGCACCAGUCAUUUCGAUGGCGUGGGUUCGAAUCCCACUGCUUCCA
rnacentral:tRNA from 1 species